UUUGAUCCUGGCUCAGAAUCAACGCUGGCGGCGCGCCAACACAUGCAAGUCGAGCGAGAAAGUGGGCAACCAUGAGUAAAGCGGCGUACGGGUGAGUAACACGUGGAUGAUCUACCUCUUAGUGGGGAAUAACCCAGGGAAACCGGGGCUAAUACCGCAUAAUCCCGAGAGGGGAAAGCAGGAAUGCGCUGAGAGAGGAGUCCGCGGCCGAUUAGCUAGUUGGCAGGGUAAAAGCCUACCAAGGCAACGAUCGGUAGCCGGCCUGAGAGGGCACACGGCCAACAUGGCACUGAAACACGGGCCAGACUCCUACGGGAGGCAGCAGUGGGGAAUCUUGCACAAUGGGGGAAACCCUGAUGCAGCGACGCCGCGUGAGCGAUGAAGCCCUUCGGGGUGUAAAGCUCUUUCGGCAGGGACGAUAUAGACGGUACCUGCACAACGAGCUGCGGCUAACAUCGUGCCAGCAGCCGCGGUAAUACGAUGGCUGCAAGCGUUGUUCGGAGUUACUGGGCGUAAAGGGUGUGUAGGCGGUUGUUUAAGUUUGGUGUGAAAUCUCCCGGCUCAACUGGGAGGGUGCGCCGAAUACUGAAUGACUAGAGUGCGGGAGAGGAAAGUGGAAUUCCUGGUGUAGCGGUGAAAGCCGUAGAUAUCAGGAGGAACUCCGGUGGUGUAGACGGCUUUCUGGACCGUAACUGACGCUGAGACACGAAAGCGUGGGUAGCAAACAGGAUUAGAUACCCUGGUAGUCCACGCCCUAAACGAUGCAUAUUUGGUGUGGGCAGUUCAUUCUGUCCGUGCCGGAGCUAACGCGUUAAAUAUGCCGCCUGGGGAGUACAGUCGCAAGGCUGAAACUCAAAGGAAUUGACGGGGGCCCGCACAAGCGGUGGAGCAUGUGGGUCAAUUCGACGCAACGCGAAGAACCUUACCUGGGCUCGAACGGCUGGUCAACGGAGGUGGAAACAUCUUUACCCCGCAAGGGGGUCCAGUCGAGGUGCUGC
rnacentral:rRNA from 1 species